CAUUAGCCCCCAUGCGUGAGAGGGCAAGUGAAGGAAACAGCAGCAUCAGAGCCCAGUGAGGGCUGAGAGUGGAAAGAAGAGCUGCCUGGCCAUAGUGUGGUCCUGGGAGGAUGCAAAUGCUGCCCAAGACACAAUGCCAAUGCAGGAAGGAGGGAGCAAGGAAGAAAUAGCUAGAACUCCUUCCUCUUGCUCACAGAUUUCCUGCCAGUGCCUCACAUUGGCCAAACCCAACUGGUAGCUAGCCAUCAAGGGAGCUCAGGUAAUAGAGUUCUCAUGGGACAGCCUCCUGGGACGAAUAAUGGUCAGAGAGAAUAACCGGUACACCCCAAACACUGGGGAUCUCUCACCUCCACAUCCCCUGAUGAAGAUCUUUAGAGAAGCUGAAUCUAGCUGUCCAGCCCGAGGGGAACCCUCCAGGGCCAGCCCAGGAGUGAACACAGCCUGUGUUUCCACUUACAAGCAUGCUCUCUUGGGGCUAUUCUGAGUGUGGAGUGAAGACACCUAGCAACCCUCUUCUAUUAUGUUGAUUCAACCAAGACAGGCUCUGCAGGAGCAAGGUCGCCUUACCUGGACUGCCACGUGUUAGUAAGGAACCCUCUUCUGAAGACUCAGAGAGCACAGGCCUAUUGUGAUGUGUGGUUAAACCUCGCUGAUCAGUUCCUAGGUACCUCUGUCUACGCAGCCUCUUUGUAAGUCUCUUUCUGGAGAAGCAUCUCUUCCUAAACGAAGGAUUAAUUACUGACCUACUUGUGACUUUGUCACCACUCACCUGUGACCACCAACCUACCGUGUUCACCAAUCUGCUGUGCCAGCAAAGCAAUCUCAUCACUAUUGUUAAAGGGACAUUCCUGUCAUAUGUGAUGUAUGCUCGUUGUUCGAAGACAGUAUGUAACCACUUUGUACACCCGACUUCUUUGGUGCCCUUCCUUCCUUGGGAAAGGUGCCAGGCUAAUUCUCAAUCUGGCUCAUAAUAAACUCACC
rnacentral:lncRNA from 1 species